UUCUCUUUCUUGCCAUCUCCCUGUCUCCUUAUUUCAUCCAUAAUUUACCCCUAAAUCCUACAAAGCCCUGCCCUAUUUUAAGUGUUUUAACCCUUGAUCACUGAUACCCUGUCCGACUGACGUAGGGCUCCGUAACGUAUCUCAAGGCUCUGCCUAAAUAUGUUGGGGUUCUGUCUCGUGACGUAGGGAUAAAUUAGAAUUGGGUCACUAUACUUAAUGUGAGUGCAUUAUAUAACCCAGGAAUGAUACCCAAAAUAUAACAACUCUCCUAAAACACCCCUGAUACCCUACACUUCCUAAAAUACACCUCGUAUGUGAAAACCGAGCCUGAAAUACAAUAUAGCAUUAAAAAUAAAUUAAAAACAAGAAAAAGUAAGUUGAGGCGGGCCGCGUAGACCCACCCCAAACCUUACGCGGGCGGUAUGAAGGUUUAAACCUGAAUUCGUUGAUUCUUUAAGGUCAGGCGGGCCGCGUAGAAAUCCCCGUUAGUUAACGCGGGCCGCGAGGGACUAAAAAGGUGGCACGGCCCGGUGCGGCCACGUGGCCCAACACCCGGCAAACCUACUCAAUGACUCAGCCCAGCUACGCAUUGACCGGAGGUCAACGCGGGCCGCGUAAGCCCUACCCAUGUGUUACGCGGGCCGCGAGAGAGUCAAGUUCAGCAACUAUAUAAGCAGGCCAUCGGGUUUCAUUCAGAAUUCGUUCACGAUCGUUUCUUUCUCUCAAAAUCUGAAUAUUAGGCAAUAUAAGCGGGUAUUAUACCCCCUAAUUAGCGAAGCUCUGCCUCGUUACUAUAACCAGGGAAUCACAAAGGAAAGCCCUAUAAUAGCAAUGUAACUUAGUAGGAAGCCAAUAAAAGCCAGCUGGAGAGCACUGAAGGCUUGGAAAAGUGGCAAUAAAGUUACCUAAAAUAAAAUAGAUGUUUUUAUUAAAUAAAAUAGGAUUUAUUCCUAUGAAAAUGUAUGUACUGCAAAACUUGGGUUUUAUCCCAUACUAUAACCAGGGAAUCACAAAGGAAAGCCCUAUAAUAGCAAUGUAACUUAGUAGGAAGCCAAUAAAAGCCAGCUGGAGAGCACUGAAGGCUUGGAAAAGUGGCAAUAAAGUUACCUAAAAUAAAAUAGAUGUUUUUAUUAAAUAAAAUAGGAUUUAUUCCUAUGAAAAUGUAUGUACUGCAAAACUUGGGUUUUAUCCCAUGUGUUUAAUAUUAUGAAAAUAUGGUGGUUUUACUCUGAUAAAAUAUUUCCUAACUACGGUCCUGAUGAAAAUUUCCGCUGCCAAAUUGGACAAUAACCAGAUACCACCGAAACUGGUCACGCCCGCCCGUUCCUGAGGGAUCGGGGGUUGUGACAGCAGAAACUGCCCCAAAACUGGCGAAUUGUGGAGAUAAUGGGGGUAACCACCACUGAAGAAAACUGUAAAGAACCGC
rnacentral:lncRNA from 1 species